GAUGAACGCUAGCGGCAGGCCUAACACAUGCAAGUCGAGGGAGGAGCCUUCGGGCUUCGACCGGCGUACGGGUGCGUAACGCGUAUACAAUCUGCCUUUCACAUAGGGAUAGCCCGAAGAAAUUUGGAUUAAUACCUAAUGGUAUAUAGAUGUGGCAUCACCUUUAUAUUAAAGCUGAGGCGGUGAAAGAUGAGUAUGCGUUCUAUUAGCUAGUUGGAGAGGUAACGGCUCCCCAAGGCGACGAUAGAUAGGGGUUCUGAGAGGGAUAUCCCCCACACUGGUACUGAGAUACGGACCAGACUCCUACGGGAGGCAGCAGUGAGGAAUAUUGGACAAUGGUCGGAAGACUGAUCCAGCCAUGCCGCGUGCAGGAAGACGGCCUUAUGGGUUGUAAACUGCUUUUGCAGGGGAAGAAUAAGGACUACGCGUAGUUUGAUGACAGUACUCUGCGAAUAAGCAUCGGCUAACUCCGUG
rnacentral:rRNA from 1 species